ensembl:lncRNA
GUAAGCGGGCUGAAGUAGAGGGUCGCACACAGCCAAAGGGGUGCCCACACUAUAGGAAGAAACCCAUCUUUUGAGUGCACCUCUCAGCUGCUCUGCGGGCUCACCGGCAGUUCCCACAAAGCCGGGAGAAAUACCCUGGCCAAGCAGAUUGACAGGCAGAUUUUCCUUAACAAAACAUGCGACGUCAACAGCAACCAGAAACGCAUCUCCCUCUGCAAGCAAGUGUCCUGAAAUAAAGGGCCAAAGGAACAUCAGCCCAAUGUAUGAUGAAAACUCUUGUAGGAGAAGAUACAACAGUAGGAUGAUAGCUGAUGAUAACACCUCAAUAGCUGCUCCAUCAAGAAG